rnacentral:rRNA from 1 species
GACGAACGCUGGCGGCGUGCCUAAUACAUGCAAGUAGAACGAGUUGCGAACGGGUGAGUAACGCGUAGGUAACUGCCUCAUAGCGGGGGAUAAAUAUUGGAAACGAUAGCUAAUACCGCAUACUGUGAGAUGGACCUGCGUUGGAUGAGCUAGUUGGUGGGGUAAAGGCCCACGAAGGCGACGAUACAUAGCCGGCCUGAGAGGUUGAACGGCCACACUGGGACUGAGACACGGCCCAGACUCCUACUGGAGGCAGAAGUGGGGAAUCUUCGGCAAUGGACGGAAGUCUGACCGAGCAACGCCGCGUGAGUGAUGAAGGCCUUCGGGUCGUAAAGCUCUGUUGAUAGAGAAGCGGUACCUAACCAGAAAGCCACGGCUAACUACGUGCCAGCCGCCGCGGUAAUUC